AAGUAUGAUUUCAUUGUCAACUGGACUACUAAUUAUGCAUAGCGAAGAUUCAAAAGACACUUUAAAGCCCUUGUCACAAAAUUGACUUAUACUUAAUAAAUUAUGUUUUAAUCCAUUAACUAACAAUACAUUGUCAAUAAAUGAGGAGGGUGAUAUGGAGAUUUUACCAACACCAAUGAUUUGACCUUUAGCAUUGUCUCC
rnacentral:lncRNA from 1 species